rnacentral:lncRNA from 1 species
ACAGCGCUCGUGUGUCUGCCCGUGGCGCCGGUUAUCUGUCGAAGUUACCACUGACAAUGCCCAAAACAAGAACAACAAAGGCCCAAAGGUGGCUGUUUGGUAGUGCGCAAAGCUGCUGGUGGUGGUGGACGUCUCUGCCCUGACGCGCGGCGUGCGUCUGCUCAGUGUGGAGGUGCCGCUGACAGCGGUGCCGGCCGGACCGGCUGCCUCUCCGGCGGCCGACAUUGAGCGCGGCACGUGUCCGCCGCCGUUCGGGCCGCUGCAGCUGCUGCAGUCGGCGGCGCAGCUGUCCGUCUCCGUGUCGCUGGCCGUGCCGCUGGACCUGCUGCCGCGGCCGGCGCCGGCGCGCUGCGCCUACGGCCGCCUGCUGGCCGUCGUCUCGCAGCGCGGCCUGCAGCGCAGCGGCGUGCUGCAGCUCAUCCAGCAGCUCAACGAGCCGCCCAGCCCGGCGGCGGCCGAGGGCGCCGCGCCGCGCCGGCCCGGCGACGUCAGCACACCUGGCAUCAGCGGCUUCUGCCUGUCCGACCGUCAGCUGCACCUGCUGUUCGCCGAGGGGCGCGCCGACGCCGAGCUGGAACAGACGGCGGCCGCGCCGCGCGCUCUGCCGCGCCGCGACACUCGACUCUGCCACCACUCGGGCCUACUGUUACGCCGUCCGCGCCAUCAGAGAGUGCUUCCGCACGCAGUGGCUGUCGGAAAAUGAACCUGCUUCCCAACGAGGCCGGCCUGCAACAACUGCUGGCCGGCUGUUGGCCGAAAAAAAAACGCCUUCAACCGGAUGUCAGUUGUCAAAUCAACGCGUAUUAAUGCAUUCACUAGGAUGGGCUUACGUAAAGCUGUAGAAUUGCAAAUAUAUAAUGGCACUGUUUUUGA